UAAGCAUAUCAAUAAGCGGAGGAAAAGAAACCAACAGGGAUUGCCCCAGUAACGGCGAGUGAAGCGGCAACAGCUCAAAUUUGAAAUCUGGCCCCUAGGGCCCGAGUUGUAAUUUGCAGAGGAUGCUUUUGGCGAGGUGCCUUCCGAGUUCCCUGGAACGGGACGCCAUAGAGGGUGAGAGCCCCGUCUGGUUGGAUACCGAGCCUCUGUAAAGCUCCUUCGACGAGUCGAGUAGUUUGGGAAUGCUGCUCUAAAUGGGAGGUAUAUGUCUUCUAAAGCUAAAUACCGGCCAGAGACCGAUAGCGCACAAGUAGAGUGAUCGAAAGAUGAAAAGCACUUUGAAAAGAGGGUUAAACAGUACGUGAAAUUGUUGAAAGGGAAGCGUUUAUGACCAGACUUGGACCCGGUGAAUCAUCCAGCGUUCUCGCUGGUGCACUUUGCCGGGCUCAGGCCAGCAUCAGUUUGUCCCGGGGGAUAAAGGCUUAGGGAAUGUGGCUCCUCCGGGAGUGUUAUAGCCCUCUGCAUAAUACCCUGGGGCGGACUGAGGUUCGCGCAUCUGCAAGGAUGCUGGCGUAAUGGUCAUCAACGACCCGUCUUGAAACACGGACCAAGGAGUCGUCUUCGUAUGCGAGUGUUCGGGUGUCAAACCCCUACGCGUAAUGAAAGUGAACGCAGGUGAGAGCUUCGGCGCAUCAUCGACCGAUCCUGAUGUUCUCGGAUGGAUUUGAGUAAGAGCAUACGGGGCCGGACCCGAAAGAAGGUGAACUAUGCCUGUAUAGGGUGAAGCCAGAGGAAACUCUGGUGGAGGCUCGCAGCGGUUCUGACGUGCAAAUCGAUCGUCAAAUAUGGGCAUGGGGGCGAAAGACUAAUCGAACCUUCUAGUAGCUGGUUUCCGCCGAAG
rnacentral:rRNA from 1 species